rnacentral:misc_RNA from 1 species
UAUCAGUUUUUGCGAAAGUAUAAAUAUCCAGUGGAAACUCACUGGGUAGAAACUGAAGACGGUUAUGUUCUUCGAAUGCAACGAUUAGUAGGCGGUAAAGAUGGAGUUUACUCUGACAAUAGUAAUAAACCGGCUGUUCUUCUCAUGCAUGGUCUAUUAAGUAGUGCUAUGGAUUUUGUUAAUGUUGGACCAAAUAGAUCAAUCGCGUUGAUGUUGGCAGAUGCAGGAUACGACGUUUGGUUGGGGAAUAAUAGAGGGACUACUUGGUCUACGAUGCAUAAGACAUUAGAUCCUGAUAAUGAUCCGGAAUACUAUGACUACAGCUUUGAUACGUGUGGAUAUUACGAUCUACCAGCAAAAAUUGACUACAUCAUUAAGCAAACAGGCCAGAAAAAAAUAUUCUACAUAGGCCACUCUCAAGGAACAUCGCAAUUUUUUGCCAUGGCAGCAUUAAGACCAGAAUACAAUGAAAAAAUCGCUCUAAUGACAGCGUUAGCACCAGUUGCAUAUAUGACGCAUAUGGCUUCUCCAUUACUGAGGCUAUUAGCUCAAUACCAAGAGAUUUUUGAGUUUUUGUUAGUGGAUGUUUUAAAAUUUCAUAAUUUAUUGCCUUAUUCAUGGAUCUAUAGAGUAUUUGCUGAAAUCUCAGAAAGAGAAUUCGAAAAGAUGAAACCAGAAGACAAAGACAAAUUUGGUAUACCGCUGUUUCUUCUCUGCGGAUUUAAUUACAGACAAUUCGAUGCGAAUCUUCUUCCAAUAAUAGUAUCCAAUGCGCCUGCUGGUAUAUCUACAAAAAUGCUUCUACAUUAUGGACAGGAAAUUCGAUCAGGUAUGCAAUACUUUAAACAAUCUAUGUAGAUUUUAGUUAUCUAUUAUAAGGUUUUAUUAAACAAAACCUAAAAAAAAAACGUUGCGUUGGAUUCUGUCAAAAACAGAAUCUGGUGAUUGUGUUUAAUACUUGGUUAAGACUAGCCAAGGGAAGCUUCUAUACAUAGGUAUGUGAAGAAAAUAUUAUGAGGAAGCAAAUAGAUUAUAACUGAAUGACAUGGAAAAGAAGAGUACCUGCUUUGGAAAUAUGUAAAAAUUUAAAUCCUAGCUGAGUGCUUUCGGCUUAUAAAGUCAUCUUCGGAGCUAUGGCCAAUAAUUUCAAAAUACCACUAUGGAGAGAGAGGCGUCCCAUGUAAGAUUGAAAACAUUUUAACUUAAGCAGGAUUUUAUUUAAGUAAAAAACUUUGUUUCAAGUUUGGAAAAUAUGUUGUCGGUGGUGAAAUUUGCUUUCUUAUAUUAAAAAAUGCAGCUUACAAAAAAGCACGAAA